UGCGUUCUUGGAGUUUCUGCCUUGGGUUAACUACAGUGUACCAGGUAGGGGCUUUUGUCUUGGUUAAAAUGGAGUCUCACGUAGCUGUUUCUGCCCUGGUACCGAGAUUCUUGGGAGCAGUAUGCUAGCAGCGUAGUAGCUCCAUCUGCUUUCAACUGCUUUACUGCUGAGACCAUGAUAGAAUUACCCCUGUUCCACGUUGUUCAAGCCUAUGACCUGAUGGAAUUGGAACGUCUUAAAAUGAUCAUGUCAUCAAGGCCAUGGUCCCCUAAUGCAAGUUCAGCCUCUGCUGAGGAGAAAUGCUGACUAAUUCCUUCCAAGAGAAAAUCUGGGUGCAGCUGAUGGGAUGUUUUCUUCAGGGACCAGUGAAGCCACAUAGUGUAAUGCGAUUCACAUCAGCUUUGUUUUUCUCCACCUGGCACAGUCUUCCAGUGUUAUCCUGGGAACUGGAUUCUCUGGAUAAGGCCUGAAAACACAGAAUGCAUUCUCAAGUCACACACAGGUUUUGUCAUAUACUGAUGUUUUGAUCAACACUGGCACUUGAGUGAUAUGCUGCUGAGAAACAAGUUUGCUCUACCAAGGAGUACAGGAGAUGUGACAUUCUGCGUGGCAGUGGCAGUGACAGGACAGCAUCUGAUAGCUCUGCUCUGCAGUGUGGUGGCAGUGAUCUUCAGCAACUUCUCAGUUUUUGAGAAGAAAGCCAGAAAUCAAAACUGGAUCCUGUCACUCCUGAUCAAGUCCUGAAGGAAAGAGAAAUCUACUGCUGGUGCCAGAGCUCUGUGAUUUCUUUCAGAAGCUUGCCACUCCGUGCAGUAGAGGUUCUGUCAUGUGAUAUUACUCCACGCAGAGGGAAGUCGGAGCAGCCCUGCACGCUGCUUUACACCACUGGAAAACAUUGAGCUUUGCCUGUGGGAAGCUCAGAAUCAGAGCUGCGCGGGUACAGGGGAGUCCCAUCACCUCAGCUUCACCCAUGUCCCUGCUUCUGCAGCAGAACGCAGCCAGGAGGAGAAGCGGUGAGGGCCGCGAUGAAGGAGGAUGAAUCCAGCAGUCCGUCCCAGCAAGCACACCUGAGCGCAGGAGGAGACCUCAUACAAAGCCAGAAUGUGUUUUGGCUUGCCACAAUUUUUAACCAUAUUAAGUCCUAUUCAGAGUUAAUGAUGAGCUCAGUGAGACUGGUGUAAUCAGCACUGAAGAAGGGAAGGACACAGAUGGAAGGCAGGGAUAACUGGCGUGCAGGAAGAAUGGAUCUCUUCUGUCUUCUGUGAUUCCUGACCCACCUAAUUGCGUGAUUGUCAUGAGCAAUAACAACCUGGCUCAGGGGAGCGGCGCUGGGGAAAGAUGCUGACGUAUUCAGUAUGGCACGCUGCUGCUCCGUCCCGGAAUGGCUUCAUGUGAUCCUGCCAUCAAUGACUGAACCUCCCUGAAAUCUUCUUAUCAGUUACUGCUGAGAUGAGAAGGAUAACAGGAAAGAGGAGCGCUUAAGUGGUUUUUCGUGACAGUUAAUUUCAUCUAUUUAUCAAAUGACAGGUUGUUUUUUUCCUCAAAACUUGAUUGUCACUGACAAGAUGCUUUUGGAAGUUAUCUUUGUAAAAUGAAACUGACAAUUUUUAGGCUACAAAGAGUUAUUGUAUCUUUCUAUACAAUGUUGUCAUUAUGGUAAACCGCUGGAAAGUCGUUAUUUUUGAAGUAAUUGAACUCGCAUACUUCAGUCAUUUAUUUGAAAGUAUGUUGAAUGCUGUUUGAGAAGUUUCUUGCCAGAGUUCUUCUAUUCAAUGGGAUAGUUAUUCUUACAACACUCAAUUUGUUAUUGUCUAAAUUACUGUUGCCUUAGCCCUCUGCAAAAUGUUUCUUUUUAGUAAUUCUUACACAAGUAAGGAAUGAAUGAGGUUUUGUCCCUUGGUGUUUUGAUGGGCAUAUUUUACCUUUCAGUAAAAGCUUCUUUAGUUUUCAGAAUGACAGUAUUACAAAGAAAGGUGCUUUACUUUCUUUAUUUUUUACCAACAGAAAGUGUGUUUUGUGCAAUGAUUUCUUGAAUACGUACAGUGCCAAGACACAGUUACUGGAAGGAGAGACGAGCUGUUGAGAAUGUCGUGUUAUGCCAAAUUAAGAAUUAUUAAUUCUUUCUUUCUCUGUGCAAUCUUUUUGACUAUAAAUCGUCCUAAUAUGUCUGGCUUAUGCUUUGUCUCUAGUGGAACUAAUGUGUCCUCAGAGUUGCAUUUUAGAGUAACUUCAGAUUCACUUGUGUCUUUUUUUUUUUUCCACAAGUCUGCUUUAAAUUGCUGGGAUUAACUUCAGAGAAGGCAAGGGAUGGAGCCUCCUUUGUCAGCAUCUGUGCUGGUUAAAGAAGGAAGCUUCAUGCACGCUUGCUCACUCUCUUGCAGGUUAUUGCCCCUGCUAGGCAAGCAUGCUGAAGUGUUUUGCUUAGCACACCCAGAUUUAAUUCAGCCCGAGAUGAUCAUGUUAUCAAAUCCUGGUUACCUGGGAGCCCGGGUCAUUUUGACAGAAGGGCAGGGAGUGUGCAGGCCAGCUGCAUGGAUGGCACGUCUGGGAAAGUGGCGUGUUAUCAGGAGGUAUGUUGAGGAGCUGCUGCUGGUGUAGUCUUUUCAUCAUGUUCCCUUGCAUCUCUAAGAUGCAGCAAAAAAUGUGACCUGGUGGAAAGCUAGGCAGUUAUAUCAUGUAUAAUUUGUGUGUUCCAGGGAUGGACUGCAUAGUUUGCCAAUGCAAGUGGAGAGAGAGAGGGUGAGUAGCUAGCAGAGGACGGUGAUUGCAAGGAAAUCCGUCUGUGGUCAAGAUGUUUGAACAGUACAUAUGUUUCCGUACCUAGCAAACACACUGCUGCAUGAAUACACUCAUCAAAGGGGCUGCCUCAACUACUGCAGGCAUUGGCAGAGCUGCUUUUGGCACACGGUGUCUUGAGCUGCCUUUAGAAAAGAGGGGAGAGCCCCCACCUCUGCAGCAGAGCUCCGUCUCCCCAUACACUGAUGCUUGUCUGUCUGUCUGUCUGAUGGUUCAUCAGUAGAUGCAGGAAUCCAGUGAGAUAUGCAAGGUCUUGGUGCUCCCAGUGUUAAAAUCAGAAUGUUACAGAUGAUCUCUAGUAGUGGAGGCAUACUGGGUUAAACCAGCACACCUCAAAACUGUCUCUUGCACGGAGGCUGUGGACUGUAGGUGCUGUCCCACCAACAGGACUCGGGCAGACAAAGAACAAGAGGCUUUCUGAGUAGUCAGAAACCUGAGAGCAGCAACUCUGCCUGCGUCUCCUCUUGGGGCACUGCUAGAUGAAAAGAACUCAGUUCAGUAGCAGAAAGGGCUGAACUUCCAGCUCACGGGGCGUUGCAUUCGAUACCUUUUAAUUGGUUCUCUGCUGAAGAAUGAGGAAGCAUGCCCUGGCCUCUCUCCUGUGCCACAGGAAAGCAAUGUACAGCAUCUGCAGAGGAACUGGUGUGCACCAAGGUGCUGCUGUGCAGGAGAGAGCAGCCUCCCCUGGCUGGUUUGUCCUCCAACAGCACAGUGCUUUCAGCCCACAGCCUGCGUCUGCUGAGCACUAACCUCCCGUGGGCCUCUAAAGCAGCAGUGUGAAGAGAUGAGGGAUGGGCGUUCAUAGGACUAAGGCGCAUAGACUUGGGAAUGUGCACAAACUUAAAAUGGGUAAUAUUUCUACAUUGUGUUAAUAGAUCUGAUGUGACUGUGAAAUCUGUUGCUUUACUGCCAAGCUCUGAGUUAACUUGGCUGUGUACUGCUGUACGUUGAGAAAGCGUUGAGCUCUUCCAUCAAAUUCUUUGUUAUUGUUAACCUGUACGCCGAGCUCUGCGCUGCAAAUGUGCGUAGCUCAAGGAGGCAAAGCACCAACCACAUAAUUUCCUAACUCCUCAGCUUUUUACUGAUCCAAUCUCUUUAUUUCUAAGGUGAAUUCGGGCUGGCUCCAGGUUUGAGAGCUGAGCCCUGUGAUGGCAGCGUGGGGUCAAGCUCCUGCUGAGCUCUGGGCAUCCGUGCUGGGUUCAGAUGUGAAGUGCCUCAUGCCAAGAACUUCGAGACGUCUCCCAUGGCCGCUGAGAGCUGAGCUGCUGCAGCUCCUUGAGACAGCCCGUAAUUCUUGCAUCUUAAUAUGGGCCAUUGUCAUACCCAUGUUAAAAUACUUAAUGAAACGCUUGCGACUUCCUAAUAAAGUUUUUGUCUGCUCGAGUGUUAAUACCAUAUAGUUAUGUGUAAUUAAACCAGUGCUGGAAAAAUAACAUCUGUCUUAUGUAGAGCACUGUCAUAGCUGUGUUAUGCCAAUGAGUAAAAUUUUAUGUCCAGGCACUUAAAAUGAUCAAGCGCUAUAGUUAAGGCUGUCAUAUUGUUUAUAUAGCACUAAAAAGAAAACAAAAUACGGUUUCAGAGCAGACAGACUUUAUUUUCUUAUAAAUACUCCAAAUAAUAGGUUGGUUUCAACUAGACUUUCUGGCUCUUCAGUGAUUGCCGCAUUCUGUAUGAAUAUAUCAGAAUUCCAGGCAUUUCAUAAUUUAUGUUUAUUAUUAUAAACACAUGAUUUCUGUGUAUGGUUGCCACAACUAUGUUGGACAAAACAUAGUUUACCUUCUGAAAUGGUACUGUACUUUUACUUUUGAACCUCUUUAACUUCAGUCUUGGUUGAAUAAAAUGUGCAUUCCUGAAAAUAAUCUGUACAUCUGUAAUAUGGCCGUUGAUUUUACAUGGCUGUUUUCAUACUCCAGACAUAGCAAAGCAUUUUCAAGGCAAUAUAUUUUGACAAUGUGUGGAGAUAAAAAUCAGUUAAUGACAAACUCUAAGGUGUAAAUUUUUAAUAAGAGCAAUGAAUCAUUAGAAAUUAUUAGAAAGGGAAUAGUAGAUUUUCUAGCAUUUGAAGUUGUUGAAUGAAGAUGAAAUGUUUUCACAGACAUAUGUGCUUGAACAAACGCAUGGGUGGGGUAGAAGAAUUCCUCGUGGGCUUCUGAGGCUUUUGUUACACCUGGGGUCAGACUGGGUCGUCUUAAACGUACUUCUGGCUUAGAAGAGAGGGCGGUAUCUUGGUAUAGCUAAUACCUAUAACGUAGCAACUUGCACCAAAUGGCUAUUAAAAUUUACUUGAACUUCACUCUAAAAAAAAAAAAAGACAAAAAACUAACAACAACAACAACAAAAACACAUCUGGGAGGGGGCAUUGCCUAACAACUACUUUGGCAAGGCUUCUGACUUUUCAGAUCGUGCCUUUUUCCAACAUGCUUUUUUAUCUCACUUCACUUGGUUCCAAAGAACUGAACAUUUCGUUGGCUUUAGGUGGGUUUCUUUCACUCAUCCAUCCCUCCUCCCUGCCCCCCCCCCACCUCAAUUAUUCAAACAGCACAUGGAAAAAACAGAGCAAAUGUCUUUUAUGCUGCUUACUAAGUGAAAUUCCGCCUUGUUGCUAGAAAUAAUUGUUAGGUUUAAAAUAAUCUGACAGCAUCCUGCUGUGUAUAAAUUAGGUUUGUUCGCUGCUAAGAUUAGUUAGCUGGCACCCAUUCACUAACACAUCACAAAAAAAUGAUCACAAGUAGAUCGCGUCCGGUUAUCUGCCUUUUUUCUUUUUAAUGGGCUUUUUGUUGCUGUGCUGUCACCCAGGUUGAAAUAAACGUGUGCAAGUCAUGCGAUUCCAAGUUCUCUGCAGCCUGGGGAGAUGAUAUUGGCUCUUUGGGAAAAGACCCGGGGGCAUAACCACUGGAGAAGGGGAGAGGUUGUUUGCACUUCGAUCUCUGAAUCUUGCGCACCUUUAUUUUUGGCCAGGUUGGAUAUCUUCUGCUCUAUGGCAUGCAGUAUGUUAUCAGUGAAGUCCAAUAUGCCAGGUAUAAUUAGCUCAUGUGUUUAAAGAGCUGUUGUUAUUUUUUAACUUGUAUGUACUAGUCAGCUUUCAUGCAGAAGUACGUAUUUUACAUGGAAAGAAUGCUGGGUGAUUCAGAGAAAAGAGAAAUGCUAUUUAAAGUCGUGCACUAGUGUUUUAGAUUUCAAAAAAGACCACAAGGUUUUUAUUUCUGUGUUUAUGAUUGAUUAGGGUUAGAGUUUUAAAAGCUUAAUGCUGACUAUAAGAGCUUUGUAGUCAGUCACUGAGAAUUAUGGGCUUGGCAUAAUUCACAUUUUUAUUCUUCAGUAUAUCCAUUAUUGUUAGAUGCUGAGUAGUCAUUGCACACAGAUAACUGGGUUGGUUUUGGGGGGGGAUUUUACAUCUUUACACAUUCUGAAAAAUACUUCGUUAAAGUAGCUCCCGAGUGAAUGGGGUAAUUAAAGAACUUCACCGCUUUUAUUGAAGUUGACACAUGCUGCACGUUCUGUAAAACUCAGUAUGUGAGCAGAAUGUUUCCAGGAUUUAUUGAAAGUCAGACACCUCGAGAUACUAGGGAAGCUUUCAAUAGCAGUAAAGAUAACUUCGUUUUUUACACAGUUAAAUAAACCUGUCUCUAAGAAGAGAGCUAUUACUGCAAUACAUUACUCAUGACCUUUGUGUUUUCUGUAUGCAUACAUUUCAUGGAUGCAUAUGCGCACACAUCUGUACAGAAGUGCUGAAGACCUGAGCAAUUUUGUUUGACAGUAACACCAUCAUUUAUUCUAUUUAGUAUUUAUUUGCAGAAAAAUAGUGUUGCAAUGUUGACUGAGGAUCUUAAUUUACUUGGUCCCAGUGGAAUGCUGCAGCCUAUUGAUUUUUAUUUUUUAACUGAAAUGCAAUCCUGCAUAGUUUGACUUGCAGCUCUUAGUGUCUGAGAGUUUGACAAAGCAAGUGAAGAAUCUCACUUAAUGUAAACUGCAGACUUGGUUUCAUUUUAAAUGAUACGAGUGCAGCAUUCCGCAUGCAUGAUGCCUUGGAAGUAGCAAAAAAUGUGAACUUGUAAUUGCAACACACAGUGACCAAUCAUGUUAGAUGUGAAAUUCCUCAAAAUGUCUAUUGAACAGAUAUAGUUACUGAUAGUGUAAUUUUUAGCUGUCUUUUUCCAGCAUAUUGGAAUAAUUUAAAGUCAAAUUGAGAACAUUCAGUUAGUCAUCCUUUCCUGUCAAUGGCUUAUGUCUUAAAAUUAUCUUUAAUAUUUAUUUUUUAAAGUGUGUAUUUAAGGUAAUGGUAACAAACAUGCAUCUUUCAAGAUCAAACCAUAUUUUAGCUCUCGUUUGCAUUUUGUUUACGUGGCCCAUGGCAUGGAGAACCCUGCCAAGUACACUCCACUCCUCUGGGUUUCGGUGAGAACUGAAUGACCAGAGCUGUGCACAGCUAAGCACACAGCCUUAUCAGCAUCCAUGCUUUAUGUAGAUACAGGCAAAGUGCUUUCCUGAAGGAGCAGGCGGUCUUGGAAAAUAUCAGAGGGCCAGAUUCUUCCACUGUGAACGACCCCAGCACGCAGCUGACGCUAUCAGAAGCAGCCGCACCUCUGUCAGAUCCAGGCAGCGCCAGGUUAAGGCGUGGCCAUCUCCGUUACCUUGCUGAGAGAGAGGAAGUCACUGCAGACCAGCAAAGUGGCUGGAGGUGCCUUUUUCAAAGUCUUCGUUUUAAAUAGCAGUAAUUAAAUCUUAACUCACAGGCAACCUUUGCCUGGAACGUCCAUUAUAUCAGUGUACUUUAAUAAGACAUAAGAAGUGCUUUGGUAGUGUUCAAUUCUUAGUAGUGUUGUAUAUCAUCUAUGCUUUGCAUGAUUUCAAAGAAGAAUGUUGCCCUUACUAUUGAAUUAUUUGUCUAAAAACAAAAAACAUCAUACUUUCACCUGUGUAUUUUGGGAUAUUUAAACUAUUAAACCUUAAGUACUUUUCAAGCAUUGUUUGACUUACUAUUAUUGCAUGCUAUAAAAUAAAAUGCAAUAUUAAAGUGCAGGCUGAAUGAAUAUUAUUCAUCAGCUACAAAUAAAAAUAUUAAAAAACAUA